rnacentral:rRNA from 1 species
UACGUAGGAGGCGAGCGUUGUCCGGAUUUACUGGGCGUAAAGGGCGCGCAGGCUGGCCCACCAAGUACGAUGUGAAAUCUCCCUGCUCAACGGGGAGGGCGCACUGUAAACUGGUGAGCUAGAGGACGGUAGAGGGGGGUGGAAUUGCUGGUGUAGCGGUGAAAUGCGUAGAGAUCAGCAGGAACACCCGUGGCGAAGGCGGCCCCCUGGGCCGUACCUGACGCUGAGGCGCGAAAGCUAGGGGAGCAAACAGG